AUGAACGCUAGCGGCAGGCUUAACACAUGCAAGUCGAGGGGGUAGAAGGAGCUUGCUCCUUUGAGACCGGCGCACGGGUGCGUAACGCGUAUGCAAUCUACCUUUUGCAGAGGGAUAGCCCAGAGAAAUUUGGAUUAAUACCUCAUAGUAUGUGAGGAUGGCAUCAUUUUCACAUUAAAGUCACAACGGCAAAAGAUGAGCAUGCGUCCCAUUAGCUAGUUGGUAAGGUAACGGCUUACCAAGGCUACGAUGGGUAGGGGUCCUGAGAGGGAGAUCCCCCACACUGGUACUGAGACACGGACCAGACUCCUACGGGAGGCAGCAGUGAGGAAUAUUGGACAAUGGGCGCAAGCCUGAUCCAGCCAUGCCGCGUGCAGGAUGACGGUCCUAUGGAUUGUAAACUGCUUUUAUACAGGAAGAAACACUCCGACGUGUCGGAGCUUGACGGUACUGUAAGAAUAAGGAUCGGCUAACUCCGUG
rnacentral:rRNA from 1 species